AUUGAACGCUGGCGGCAGGCCUAACACAUGCAAGUCGAACGGUAACAGGAAGCAGCUUGCUGCUUCGCUGACGAGUGGCGGACGGGUGAGUAAUGUCUGGGAAGCUGCCUGAUGGAGGGGGAUAACUACUGGAAACGGUAGCUAAUACCUCAUAAUGUCGCAAGACCAAAGAGGGGGACCUUCGUGCCUCUUGCCAUCGGAUGUGCCCAGGUGGGAUUAGAUUGUUGGUGGGGUAACGGCUCACCAAGGCGACCAUCCCUAGAUGGUGUGAGAGGAUGACCAGCCACACUGGAACUGAGACACGGUCCAGACUCCUACGGGAGGCAGCAGUGGGGAAUAUUGGACAAAGGGCGCAAGCCUGAUGCAGCCAUGCCGCGUGUAUGAAGAAGGCCUUCGGGUUGUAAAGUACGUUCAGCGGGGAGGAAGGGAGUAAAGUUAAUACCUUUGCUCAUUGACGUUACCCGCAGAAGAAGCACCGGCUAACUCCGUG
rnacentral:rRNA from 1 species